AGUGAACGCUGGCGGUAGGCCUAACACAUGCAAGUCGAACGGCAGCACAGUAAGAGCUUGCUCUUACGGGUGGCGAGUGGCGGACGGGUGAGGGAUACAUCGGAAUCUACUUUUUCGUGGGGGAUAACGUAGGGAAACUUACGCUAAUACCGCAUACGACCUACGGGUGAAAGCAGUGGAUCUUCGGACCUUGCGCGAUUGAAUGAGCCGAUGUCGGAUUAGCUAGUUGGCGGGGUAAAGGCCCACCAAGGCGACGAUCCGUAGCUGGUCUGAGAGGAUGAUCAGCCAAAGUGGAACGGAGACACGGUCAAGACUCCUACGGGAGGCAGCAGUGGGGAAUAUUGGACAAUGGGCGCAAGCAUGAUCCAGCAAUACCGCGUGGGUGAAGAAGGACUUCGGGUUGUAAAGCCCUUUUGUUGGGAAAGAAAAGCAGCAGGUUAAUACCCCGCUGUUCUGACGGUACCCAAAGAAUAAGCACCGGCUAACUUCGUG
rnacentral:rRNA from 1 species